CACAGCCACAGUCCUGUCAUGACCAACAAGAGGAGUGAAAUACACUCAUGGAGGUGUCCUAUCCCCUGGGUGUAUGCAGAUUUGAUGAAACCCCAAAAUACUGCAAAGAAUACUGGUGGAGUAGCAGAGGCCCAGGGUCGGAACAAAACCACCUCCUUCCUCCUCAUCACAAUAGGCAUGGACUUCAUGACCAGUGGCUCCAGGAUGAAUGCCUGUGCAUCAAAGAAUGUCACAUUCUUCAGUGGUUCCCAGUCCAGGAGCACACAGCAUCAACCUCUCUGCCACUGUGACCAGUGAAGAUCCAGCCCCUUAUCCUGCUGACAGCACAACAAAAUCUAUCUAUAAACCACAGAUUCCAUCCAUUGCCAGCUGCAUACCCAGUAGGGAGAAGAAAUCUGAAAGAUGAAAGGAAACUGAGUAUUUACUUAGAUUAUUAUAAUGGAUUAAGUUUACCAAGUUAGACUAAAAUUUAAUUCCCAUCCUGGGAUCCAGGAGUAGAAACUUGGAAGUAACAUUAAUUUAAUUGAUAAAGAAAAAUUAAGAAGUUAUAUUUUCUUAUCUCUGAGUAUAAUAUGAAUGCAUUUUGCAAACCUGAUAUGAAUUUUCGUGGAAUGAAUAAACAGAUGGUAAACUCCCC
rnacentral:lncRNA from 1 species